rnacentral:tRNA from 1 species
UUAAAUGUAGCUCAGUGGUACAGCACUUGUCUAGCAUGCAAAAGUCCCUGGAUUCAAUUCCUAGCACCAAAA